GUUUCCGUAGGUGAACCUGCGGAAGGAUCAUUAAUGAAUAAACUCGGUGGAUUGUUGCUGGCUCCUAGGAGCAUGUGCACAUCUGCCAUUGUUUCAUUCUUUCUCCACCUGUGCACCUUUUGUAGGCUUGGAUAUCUCUCAAGGAAUAUAUACAUUCCUUGGAUUUAAGGAUUGUGUUUUAACAUACACUUUCCUUUGCAUUUCCAGUCUAUGUUUAUAUAUAUACACCCCAUUAGUAUGUUUUAGAAUGUUUAUAUUUGGCCUUUGAUAGGCUUUAAAACUUAUACAACUUUCAACAACGGAUCUCUUGGCUCUCGCAUCGAUGAAGAACGCAGCGAAAUGCGAUAAGUAAUGUGAAUUGCAGAAUUCAGUGAAUCAUCGAAUCUUUGAACGCACCUUGCGCUCCUUGGUAUUCCGAGGAGCAUGCCUGUUUGAGUGUCAUUAAAUUCUCAAUCCUCUCUGGGUUUAUCCUCAGUUGGGCUUGGAUAUGGGGGUUUUGUGCCGGCUUGCAAAAGUCAGCUCCCCUUAAAAAUAUUAGCAAGACUUUUGUUGCAACCUUCUAUCUGGUGUGAUAAUUAUCUACAUCAUAGAUUAUGUGCAGUGUUAUCAUGUCUAGCUUCUAAUAGUCCAUUAACUUGGACAAAACUCUGACAAUUUGACCUCAAAUCAGGUAGGACUACCCG
rnacentral:rRNA from 1 species